UCAACCUGAGAGUUUGAUCCUGGCUCAGAGCGAACGCUGGCGGCAGGCCUAACACAUGCAAGUCGAACGAACUCUUCGGAGUUAGUGGCGGACGGGUGAGUAACACGUGGGA
rnacentral:rRNA from 1 species